rnacentral:rRNA from 1 species
UUUAUUAGAAGAGACGCAUUUAUUAGAUAAAAAGCCAAUGCAUGCUUUUACAGUAUGGAAAUUGGUGAUUUAUAAUAACUUGGCAAAUCGCAAAGUGAAAACAGGCGAUAAAUCAUUCAAGUUUCUGACCUAUCAGCUUUCGACGGUAUGGUAUUGGCUUACCGUGGCAGUGACGGUUAACGGGGGAUUAGGGUUCGAUUCCGGAGAGGGAGCCUGAGAAACGGCUACCACAUCUAAGGAAGGCAGCAGGCGCGCAAAUUACCCAAUUCUAACAGUUUGAGAGAGGUAGUAACAAGAAAUAACAAUACAAGGCAAUUAAAAUGCUUUGUAAUUGGAAUGAUAGAAAUUUAAACCCUUUUUAAAGUAUCAAUUGGAGGGCAAGUCUGGUGCCAGCAGCCGCGGUAAUUCCAGCUCCAAUAGCGUAUAUUAAAAUUGUUGCAGUUAAAAAGCUCGUAGUUGAAGUUCUGCUAAAAGUAACCGGUCUGCUUUUAAUAAAAGUGGUAUCUUGGUGUGUAUUUAGCAAUGAUGUCCUUUGAAGUGUUUUUUACUUUAUUGUAAUAAAGCAUAUUCAGGACUUUUACUUUGAGAAAAUUAGAGUGUUUCUAGCAGGCCGACGCUUUGAAUAC